UGAGUGCGAGCUUCUACGGAAGCGAAGUUGGUGACGUCAAGCUUCCAAGAAAAGCCCUAUACCCGUUAAGGCAUGAUUACCUGUACCCGAAACCGACACAGGUGGGGUGGUAGAGAAUACCGAGGGGCGCGAGGUAACUCUCUCUAAGGAACUCGGCAAAAUGACCCCGUAACUUCGGGAGAAGGGGUGCCAGCGCGAGCUGGUCGCAGUGAAUAGGCCCAGGCGACUGUUUACCAAAAACACAGGUCUCCGCUAAGUCGCAAGACGAUGUAUGGGGGCUGACGCCUGCCCAGUGCCGGAAGGUUAAAGAAGUUGGUCAGCGCAAGCGAAGCUAACGACUGAAGCCCCGGUGAACGGCGGCCGUAACAAUAACGGUCCUAAGGUAGCGAAAUUCCUUGUCGGGUAAGUUCCGACCCGCACGAAAGGCGUAACGAUCUGGGCGCUGUCUCGGAGAGAGGCUCGGCGAAAUAGAAUUGUCUGUGAAGAUGCGGACUACGUGCACCCGGACAGAAAGACCCUAUGAAGCUUUACUGUAGCUUGGUAUUGUGCUCGGGCUCGCAAUGCGCAGGAUAGGUGGGAGGCUUUGAUCCAUUGCUUGUGGGUGAUGGUGAGCCACUGGUGAGAUACCACUCUUUGCGAGCUAGGGUUCUAACGGUUACCCGUCAUCCGGGAACCGGACAGUAUCUGGUGGGCAGUUUGACUGGGGCGGUCGCCUCCUAAAAGGUAACGGAGGCGCGCAAAGGUUUGCUCAGGCUGGUUGGAAAUCAGCCGACGAGUGUAAAAGCAGAAGCAAGCUUGACUGUGAGACCUACAAGUCGAACAGGGAGGAAACUCGGCUUUAGUGAUCCGACGGUUCUGAGUGGAAGGGCCGUCGCUCAACGGAUAAAAGUUACUCUAGGAUAACAGGCUGAUCUCCCCCAAGAGUUCACAUCGACGGGGAGGUUUGGCACCUCGAUGUCGGCUCAUCGCAACCUGGGGCUGAAGUCGGUCCCAAGGGUUGGGCUGUUCGCCCAUUAAAGCGGUACGCGAGCUGGGUUCAGAACGUCGUGAGACAGUUCGGUCCAUAUCCGGUGCAUGCGCAGGAAUAUUGAGAGGAUUUCUCCCUAGUACGAGAGGACCGGGAGGAACGCACCUCUGGUGUACCAGUUAUCGUGCCAACGGUAAACGCUGGGUAGCCAUGUGCGGAGUGGAUAACCGCUGAAAGCAUCUAAGUGGGAAGCCCACCUCAAGAUGAGUAUUCCCAUGGCUUAAGCCAGUAAGGUCACGGGAAGAACACCCGUUGAUAGGCUCUAUGUGGAAGCGCAGUAAUGCGUGAAGCAGAGGAGUACUAAUAGACC
rnacentral:rRNA from 1 species